CCAGGGCCCCUCUCAUCAAGCUUCUCCAGGGAAGGAGAGGGCAGUUGUGAAGGCACCCCUGGUUUCAAGGAGAGGAGAAAUAGACUCUGCCUCUCAAUGAGUGGUGGCCAGAUCCUGGAGGAACACAGAAAUAUUGCUGUGGCUGUUUCUGGACAAUGAGAUCUGCAACCUGCUGUGCUGUGGGCUAGAGGUCAGACCCACCAGGGAGUCUGGGCCCAGGGAUCAGGUUCCAAAGAUGGUUCACCACCAGGAGUUAGGGACAAAGUCCAGAAUGCCUCUUCACUACAUGGAUGUGAUCAUGUGGCACUGCCCCACAGGGACGUCAGUGUCCACUCUGGCCCUGGGGCCUCAUUAGCACAGCGAGACUAGACCCAGACACAUCUCAGGGGCCUCGGCUUCCACUGCCUGCAAUGCCAGGAUACGCUGAUCUGUGAAUCCUUGGAAUCUCCUUCGGGAAAUGACCCACUCAAAGGGAGGAUUUGUCAUCCUGGUGCAUUGUAUACAUCUCAUCCAACUUCCAGACAAGCCGUAAUUCUGUGAGUAAUGGCUUGGCGGUGUGAGGUGAUGUCAUCAGGGCAGACGCUUUGGUGGAGAGGGAUGUGUGGCCUGGACACAGCCACCUCCCUCAUGGAGCCCCCAGAGCUCACCUACCUCAGAGGAAAGUCAGGGCGGUCAGCCCCUUUCAGCCAGGAUGUUCAGCUGGGAGCUGGAGGCAAGGGCAUCCAUUGAGUUUGGACUUCUAUGCCUGUGACACCUGUGCAAGUGAUGGACUCCCCGAGCCAGGGUCCCCUGUGCCCCCACGAGGAGGAGCCUGAGGGUGAAGGAUGGCUGCUCAGCACACAGGGUGUGAUGGAGAAUUGCAGGCGCUGGGCCCUGGCCUUGUCCUCCCACUGCCUAUUGUGGGCCACCCGAGGCCUCCACACUCCCCGUCACAUGACAGCGCCCACCUUGCAGCAAUGUACAUGAAGGGCCCAGGGCCCCCUUUCCUCCUGUGAGGCCCAGCAUGCUGCCAGACACAUGCGAGGUCCUUGGUCAGCACCUCGGGGUCACAGGACCUGAGGCCUCUCUCUGGAUUCUGACCAUUCUCAGAAUGGGGUCU
rnacentral:lncRNA from 10 species